rnacentral:rRNA from 1 species
CCUACGGGGGCAGCAGUGGGGAAUAUUGGACAAUGGGCGAAAGCCUGAUCCAGCCAUGCCGCGUGUGUGAAGAAGGCCUUCGGGUUGUAAAGCACUUUCAGUGGGGAAGAAAGCCUUGGGGCUAAUACCCUCGAGGAAGGACAUCACCCACAGAAGAAGCACCGGCUAACUCCGUGCCAGCAGCCGCGGUAAUACGGAGGGUGCGAGCGUUAAUCGGAAUUACUGGGCGUAAAGCGCGCGUAGGCGGUCUGAUAAGCCGGUUGUGAAAGCCCCGGGCUCAACCUGGGAACGGCAUCCGGAACUGUCAGGCUAGAGUGCAGGAGAGGAAGGUAGAAUUCCCGGUGUAGCGGUGAAAUGCGUAGAGAUCGGGAGGAAUACCAGUGGCGAAGGCGGUCUUCUGGACUGACACUGACGCUGAGGUGCGAAAGCGUGGGUAGCAAACAGGAUUAGAUACCCGUGUAGUC